rnacentral:rRNA from 1 species
UACGAAGGGUGCAAACGUUAUUCGGAAUUACUGGGCGUAAAGCGUGCGCAGGCGGUUUGUUAAGACAGGUGUGAAAUCCCCGGGCUUAACCUGGGAAUUGCGCUUGUAACUGGCAGGCUAGAGUGUGGCAGAGGGGGGUGGAAUUCCACGUGUAGCAGUGAAAUGCGUAGAUAUGUGGAGGAACACCGAUGGCGAAGGCAGCCCCCUGGGUUAACACUGACGCUCAUGCACGAAAGCGUGGGGAGCAAACAGG